GUCAAUGUGGUGUAGUGGUUUGCACGUUUGAUGACAACUCUGGAGAUCAGUGCUCGAAUCUCUGCUUGGCCA